GCUCUGGAGAAAAAAAAGGAAGACAGCGAAAAUGAUAAAGAGACAAAAAAUUGUGUAUAUCUUGGUGUAAAUGAUUUAUCCUCAAUUUCUUAUAAUAAAACAAAAAAUAUUAUUAAACAUUGGGAUUUACUUGUAACUCGAAACUCUUUACAGAAGUUCAAUGUUUGCUCUGAGAAGUUGAAUGAACAAAAUUUAUGAAAUGUAUUCAUUCUUAGUCAUCAUUAAAGUACAAUUUGGUUAACUACAAAACACAUCAAGUUCAGUUAUAAAAAUUUGAGUAACAAUGGUAUGCUAAUUAUUGUACUGCCUGAAAGAGUGUCAUUGCUAUUAAAAGCAGUGAAGAAUUCAAGUACUCUGGAAGAAAAGAAAAUACGUCAAUAAUUUGGCACAAAUCGGAGUUAAAGACAAAGGAGAUUGUAUACUUUAUUUGCUAAGAAUAGUUUUUAAAAAUGGCCUAGUUGUAAAAUUAAACUAUGCAGGGAGAGGACAAAAAUAUGGAAUAGAAAAACGUUGAUUGCAUAUGCUGCUAUUGGUAAGUGAUUUAGAAAAGUUUAUUUUUUCAGUUUCAAUUUUGCAUUACAGAAUUACUUUCAAUUUGUUAUGUUUCUUUGGUG